AGUGAAUAUUAGGACAUCGCUUCGGCGAGUUCGACCCUCCACUUUUCAACUCUGUGCAUUUAUUGGCGGAAUCGAGCGAGCAAUCGUGAAGUUCUGCGUCUCAUUUUUAAACACUAGUCAAAGUAUGUAACGAAAUAUCGAAAUAAAAAAAAACUUUCAACAACGGAUCUCUUGGCUCUCGCAUCGAUGAAGAACGCAGCGAAAUGUGAUAAGUAAUGUGAAUUGCAGAAUUCAGUGAAUCAUCGAAUCUUUGAACGCACCUUGCGCUCCCUGGUAUUCCGGGGAGCAUGUCUGUUUGAGUGUCAUGAACUCUUCAACCCACCAGUUUCUUGUAGACUGAUUGGUGUUUGGAUUUUGAGCGCUGCUGGUCUUCGGAUCUAGCUCGUUCGUAAUAUAUUAGCAUCUCUAAUUCGGCUUCGGAUUGACUCAGUGUAAUAGACUAUUCGCUGAGGACACACCUAGUGUGGCCGAACGUUGAUCUCAGUAGAAGCUUCCAACUAUUGUAGUCAAUUUUAGAUUAGACCUCAGAUCAGGCAGGAUUACCCGCUGAACUUAA
rnacentral:rRNA from 1 species